rnacentral:rRNA from 1 species
UGGGGAAUAUUGGGCAAUGGGCGCAAGCCUGACCCAGCGACGUCGCGUGAGGGAAGAAGGUCUUCGGAUUGCAAACCUUUGUAAGCAGGGACGAAAAAAAUGACGGUACCUGCAAAGUAAGCCACGGCUAACUACGUGCCAGCAGCCGUGGUAAUACGUAGGUGGCGAGCGUUAUCCGGAAUUACUGGGUGUAAAGGGUGAGUAGGCGGGAAGAUAAGUCAGAUGUGAAAUACAAAAGCUCAACUUUUGAAUUGCAUUUGAAACUAUCUUUCUUGAGAGUCGGAGAGGUAAUUGGAAUUCCUAGUGUAGCGGUGAAAUGCGUAGAGAUUAGGAGGAACACCAGUGGCGAAGGCGGAUUACUGGACGACAACUGACGCUGAGACACGAAAGCGUGGGGAGCAAACA